GGUGAGACAGCAUUUAGGGCUCUACAUUCAGUGAAGGUGAGACAGCGUUUAGGGCUCUACAUUCAGUAAAGGUGAGACAGCGUUUAGGGCUCUACAUUCAGUAAAGGUGAGACAGAGUUUAGGGCUCUACAUUCAGUAAAGGUGAGACAGAGUUUAGGGCUCUACAUUCAGUAAAGGUGAGACAGCGUUUAGGGCUCUACAUUCAGUAAAGGUGAGACAGCGUUUAGGGCUCUACAUUCAGUAAAGGUGAGACAGAGUUUAGGGCUCUACAUUCAGUAAAGGUGAGACAGUGUUUAGGGCUCUACAUUCAGUAAAGGUGAGACAGAGUUUAGGGCUCUACAUUCAGUAAAGGUGAGACAGAGUUUAGGGCUCUACAUUCAGUAAAGGUGAGACAGCGUUUAGGGCUCUACAUUCAGUAAAGGUGAGACAGCAUUUAGGGCUCUACAUUCAGUAAAGGUGAGACAGCGUUUAGGGCUCUACAUUCAGUAAAGGUGAGACAGUGUUUAGGGCUCUACAUUCAGUAAAGGUGAGACAGCGUUUAGGGCUCUACAUUCAGUAAAGGUGAGACAGAGUUUAGGGCUCUACAUUCAGUAAAGGUGAGACAGUGUUUAGGGCUCUACAUUCAGUAAAGGUGAGACAGCGUUUAGGGCUCUACAUUCAGUAAAGGUGAGACAGCGUUUAGGGCUCUACAUUCAGUAAAGGUGAGAGGGGCUGUGAGAUAGUGUUUCUCUGGAGAGGAGAGGAGAGGAGAGGAGAGGAGAGGAGAGGAGAGGAGGAAAGAGGAUGAGGGUAGAGGAGAGUGGGUCAUCCUAAUCGACUAAUUGUUUAGUAGGCUUGAGGGCCAGAUUCCACGAUCGAUUACUCAUGCCUGACCAUAUCAAUCAAACUGCACGUCACACACACACACACACACACACACACACACACACACACACACACACACACACACACACACACACACACACACACACACACACACACACACACACACACACACACACACACACACACACACACACACACACACACGCACACGCACACACGCACACACACACACAAAUGAAAGCGCUGCAGUGAAAGAGGAAGGCCUGGGAUUGAGGACAGCAUUAAAACCUCAUUAGUGUCUGUGGCUGAAUUACCAACGCGCAGCAUCACAGCCUUUCAACAGCAGGUCUUCCCUCAUUUCUUAGAGAAACACAUUGGGCGUAUCCAAAAUAGCACCCGGACACAGUGCCCUAUGUAGGGAAAAGGUUGCGAAUUGUGUACGCAGUCAUUCUUCCACUUGAGUUGCAUAUGCUCCUGUUACAGUACAUUCUAGCACAGUAUCCGUGGCUAGAUGACACAUGGCACCCUAUUCCCUAAAUAGUGCCUUUCGGUCACUAUCUGGCUAUAAGGGAAGUAUCUAAAGGAGAUGAGUGACUGAGAGUACUGCACUGCGUAAGGAGUGUCCCACUACCAAAGGCAGAAACCCUCUCCGUCAUCGAGAUCUCCACAACGUCAAGAGACUAUUGACAAACCAUCAACACGGGGAGAAACAGUCAAGGAACUUAUAUCAUCGGAAUUGUAACGUGAGCCAGGGAAUUCCCAGAAUUCCUGAAGCAGCAGCGUGACAGGUCAAAAGGUCGGACCCUUCUGUAACUCUAAGGAUUGUGGGAUUUGUAGUUUCUCCGUUCUCUAGUGACU